CGUGUCCUGUCAAACCUGCAGCUCCCAGGCUUCCGCGACCACAGAGCACCUCAUCGGUCUCCAAGGCCCCGAUUAUGUCCUUGUCGCCUCCGACCGAGUGGCCACCGGCAAUGUUGUCCAGAUGAAGGAUGAUCAUGAUGAGAUGCUUAAGAUGAGAGAAAAAAUCUUACUCCUAUGUGUUGGAGAGGCUGGAGACACUGUACAGUUUGCACAAUAUAUUCAGAAAAAUGUCCGACUUUAUAAGAUGCGAAAUGGAUAUGAAUUGUCUCCCACAGCAGCAGCUAAUUUCACAUGCUGAAACCCGACUGAUUGUCUUUGGGGUCGGACCCCAUAUCAUGUGAACCUCUUCCUGGCUGGCUACGAUGAGCAUAAGGGACCAGCGCUCCACCACAUGGACUACCUAGCAGCCUUGACCGAGGCUCCUUUUGCAGCCCAAGGCUAUGGUACCUUCCUGACUCUCAGUAACGGAUACCACACAACUACUAUCUCACAGGAGAGGGCAGCAGAGCUUCUUAAGAAAUGUCUAGAGGAGCUCCAGAAAUGCUUCAUCCUUAAUCCGUCGAACUUCAGCUUUUGAAUCAUCGAAAAAAACAACAUCCAUGACCUGGAUGACAUUUCCGUCCCCAAACAGGGCUCGUAG